UUGUAAAUUUGUUGUGUAAAGUCUUUUAAAAAAUGACCAGCUGAUAUAAGAGGAAGACAAUAGCUUAUUUUCCAUGGACUGUCUAUCAGUCCUUAUAAAACAUAAACUAUGGACUCUCUAUCAGUCCUUAUAAAACAUAAACUAUGUUCUGUAUAAUGUGUAUGGUCGCUAGGCUACAAAAAAAACGGACUAAAGUGAAGUGGUUAGACAGCUAUAGCGCGGGAUUUCCAAAGCACAAGUUUGGCUUCAUAGACUUUGAAAAUGUGGUUACUUUACAAAGCUAAACCGGUACCUGAACCUGCAAUUGUACGCGAAGAACAUAGAAUUGUGGUUACUUCCAUCGUUCCAUGUUUAAAAUCUUUCUAAACAAUUUGUUAGUUUCGUUUACAGUAAAUAUUUGAUAUACAUGAAUGUCCAGAGAGUAGAUUUACUUUCUCUGGAAAGAUAAAUUGUUAUUUGAAUAAUUAAAAUUUGUAUAAAAAUGGAAAGCUAUGAGUUGCGUUUCUCAUUUACUGUUGUUUUUUUACCUUUUUUUUCUCUGUUUUUUUUUACCUUUUUUUUCUCUUUCUGCAAGUAAACAACAACAUCCUGAAAGAAUGUUAAGGUACAACUUUACUUAAUUGGUGUUGCUCAUGUUUUUAUGUUCCAAAUAUCCAUGCUAUUCCUUGAUGGACUUUAUAUCGAUCCUACACUGCUACUGUUCUGACAUAUUUUUUUUACUUCUUUCUCUACUUAUGUGAAGGCGGUGUUGAAAAUCCUGGAGGAUCUGAAUGUUUGGUCAUUGAUGUUGACUUCCAGAGGCUCCUCGAAAGCUCUCGGGCAGUUCCACUACAACAGCUUUACUGGAGUGUUAUGUACAUUGGACAGAACUGUGGCUACCUUUAUUACAUUUUGACUAUUAUAAUCUAAUCAGGUUUUACCUUGGUAACUCACAAAAGUGAGUGAUGCACCUAUAUUGCCAUCUUUUAAGCAGAAUUUUCUGCUUGAUGCCAAUCAGGAAGGAGAUAAGAUUCUUCGUUGCUUGGAACAUCGCAACCGGAUUAGCUGCUUGAACAAAUGGAAGAAACAUGCCUGAAAAUGGGAGAACAAUUGUUGUUAGUAUGAGGCUGUUGUCUCUGAAAAUGUGUAGAAGCUGAUACUCAUCUUCUUUACAUUGUAAGCUGUCUCUUCUAUGCACCAUGCCUCUCAAAAUCAAUUUUUAAGUGACUAUUUCAACUUCUCUAUUUCCAAAAUGGGAGAAGUUUAGCAGGCGGCGGCGAUCACAAGAUAAAAUCAUUAAUAACCUCUUUCGUUAAUUCAUAUACCGUAGGUUGUAAAUCCAACAAGUUAAAGCAAACAACAUUAUCAAAUCUGACCCUGUUCUGUGGUGAACUAUGAUAGGUUUUGGAUCUUAUGUUUUAAUUAUUUGUCGAGCGACCCAACACUUUCUUCUGUUUUCAAAGUUGAAAUGUUGAUUGGCUUAUGCAUGCACUUUACCUAGAAAUUAAGAACAAAACAAAAGCUUAGAGAUAUUUUUUUUAUAUAGGUUUCAUGUAAUGCAGGGUGCAUAAUUAUGAAAACCAUUACAUAUAGCUCAACUAGCUUUUGCUAUAAACUCUUGGUUGCGAAUCUGUGUUAUAUAAAACCUAAUAUUCUCUUUCCAUUUUUUUUUUGCAUCAGAUUCUCUUUCUACCUUUGCGAUCCCUUUUCCUCUCUUCACACAGACCCUAGACCUUUGCUUUCCUCUUUGGUUUGUGUUUGAUUGUUUGAUUUUGUAGGUCAAGAGAGACGAAUUCGAAAAACGGGUGUUUCAUCAGAUUUGAUUGUAGUCUCUUCUCUCUUUGAUUUAUGUCAUCUGCAUCUAAUUGUGUUUUUACUUUUUAAUGAUUUCGUCAGCUCUCAUCUCUACCCGUUUUGAUUCUUCUUAUUUGAUUCUCUAUUCUUUUACUCCGAAUUCAGGAUGUUUUUAUUUGAAAUGCUUUUUCACCUAUUGUUUCUCACUGUUUUGAACUGAACAGAUAAAAUCACAGAAUCGUCUCCAACGAUUGUUUUCUUUGUUAAUGAUUUCUUUUUUUUUUUUAAUUUUGGUUUUGUAGGUAAAGAAAGACUGAUUUGAAGAAUGGGUGAUUUUGGAUGGUAUCCUUCUUUACAAUCUUUUCGUAGAUGCUAUUUUCUUUCUAUAUUUAGUUUGGGUAGUGUUUUAUCUGUUUGGGGUUAACAGGUUUGGUCAUUUUUUUACUCAUGUUUGUAUUAGUUGUGUGUUUAAAUGUUCAGAGUUCAGGUGUGUGAUUCAAACCGUAUCAGUAGAGGACACGUUUUUUUUCCAUGUCAUACCGUAGACGAUAGUAUGGAUCCUUUCAAAUUAAUUCGGUUGGAAGUAGUUUUUCUGUUUUUUUCAUUCAUGUUUGUAUAGAUGUGUCUGUUCUAACGAACGUUGGAUAUUUUAAGAGGCAAGUACAAAUAUUUGGGGAUGCUUUAUUGUCUGACCUAAAUCUUUUCCCUUUUAAAUGGAUCUUCUGAACAAUCAUGUUGAUCUGCUUAUCUUAUAGUAUGCUUUCCCUAUAUUUUUGUCAGUUGUCUUUGUGACUCUUAGCACUGAUCCCCAUAUAUGUAAACUUUUACGCCAAUUGGUAAAUCCUUGCAGGACUAGCAGACCAAUUUUCCAUUAACAUACUCAUCUCUGAGAAAUAUUGUUCAUUGGCUGUACUUUAAUAGAUUGGCCCUCAGCUCUGUACCAUUUUAAAGUUUUGUAACAAAUUAUAUUUGGACACAGGUCCAAUGAAGUCCCCUUGGCUAUUGAGGUUCUGUCUAUAGUGUUAAAAAAGAAUGAUUUCUAGGAAUACGGCAAAGGGAAAGAUUUCCAUCAUAGGUUACCGCUCUUCUUAAAAAAAAGAAUUCAUAAACUUAACCGACAAAUAUGUGUUAUCCAGAUAUAUCUUGAUGAUUAAAUUUGUUUUGGUA